UCUCUUCUCUCUGUUCACAAAAAAGUUUCAUUUUCGCGGCUAAAGUUCAAAAUAUUUUUGUUUACCGGCAAACUAGCAGAUAAAGCUAACUGGAGUCUCCUAUUUCGUGAUGAUGUUUUAGUUUCAACAGUCGUACUAUGUUUGGCCUUUUUUCUCUGCGAUUUAUAUUUUCUGAUAUUUUCUUCCCCUGUCCUUCAUGCGUAACUCGUAAGGUAGAUGAACAACUGUUUAAAUUUUGAUUUGUCAUCAUAUCUAUCGGGUUAUGCAUAAUAUGUAUUGGGCUUCUUCUACUCUGUUUUGGCGAUUGUGUGUUUCUUGGUUCAGAUUCUAUGCUCAGAUUUUUUGUUUGUUUUUCAUCAAAUUCAAGUAUGUACUCUAACUGUUUGAUAAUAUCACUCAAACAAAAACCGUCCAUAUUUAUCAUUCCAUUUUGCAAUCGCAAAAUCUCUAAAUAUUGGAAUCUUUCUAUUUUGGCAGAAUUGUGAAAUUAAAACCUCAGGCUAAGAAGUCCGCCAUGAAGGGUCGAUGCAACUCAAAAAGAUAGCAGGACCCCUUUGAAAGUCAUACUUGCAUUAUGAGAAGUAGGGGAGAGCGUGGGCCGGUUCGGCUCGGUUUUUCGAUAAAACCGGAACCGCAACCAUAUAUCCUCGGUUUUUGAAAUCGAAAACCGCAACCGCCGGUUCGGAUUCGGUUUCGGUUUAAAAAUCCCGGUUCGGUUAUAAUCGGCUCGGUUUCGGUUACAAAACCGACUACAAAAUUCACUUGGUACUUAUUGCCCAGACAUCAGUCGAAAGAAUUAUUUUAGGAUUUCACACCAUAUAAUCAGAGAGUGCUCCAGUUUAAGAAUUUUCAGGGGCAAUCUGUGUCCUGUGAUUAUUACCUCUCUAAUGUGUAGUGUGCCAAGCAUCAUGACUUGGGUAAUAUUAGCAACAGUAGAAGAUAAAGAUUUCUGACAGAACACAAAAGAGCUGCAUAUAAGAAUUCAUGUGACUUAGUAGUAUAAAUUAAAGUUAGAAUUACAUUAUAUAAAAUUAUAUAGAUUAUAAAUAAUUAUAUAAAAUUAUAUUUAAUUAUUUAUUUUAAUAAUCGGUUCGGUUCAGUUUUUUCCGGUUCGGUUUGGAAAUAUAACCGGAACCGAACCAAUUAAAACGGUUCGGGUUCGGUUUAAUUUUUUCGGUUUCGGUUUCGGUUUUUGACGGUUCGGUUUUAGCCGGUUUUUCCCGGUUUCGGUUUCGGUUCGGUUUCAGAUCGGUUUUUUGCUCACCCCUAAUGAGAAGUAAAGAUGAAGUUGGUUCAUCAACAGCGGAUAAUGUAACAAUUGGAAGGGAAGAUAACUAGAAGUGAUGUGUAAUUUCUGGAGCUCACAAUCAAAAGGAUAUUUUAUUAACUUGAAUGAUUAGUCCACUUAAGUGGUAUUGCUGAUCAAGUUGAGAAAGCGCAGAAUCUGUGUUACUUCAAUGACAUUACUGGAUGAGUCACACGUUGGGAUGGUUAUCACAAAUUUUAAUUCCAAAGUCAGCAAAAAUCAGCUUCUGAUCCAAUGUUAGGAGAUUUAAGAUAUCUAUUUUUUUUUUCAAGUACCUUGUAUAUAUACAGUUUAAAUGUACUGUUUAAGUUCAAGUUUUGUGUAUUAUUACAUUUUAGUUUGAAUGAAUGGAAUAAUAAAAUUACUUUUAC